CCUACGGGUGGCAGCAGUGAGGAAUAUUGGUCAAUGGACGAGAGUCUGAACCAGCCAAGUAGCGUGAAGGAUGACUGCCCUAUGGGUUGUAAACUUCUUUUAUAUGGGAAUAAAAUGUUCCACGUGUGGGAUUUUGUAUGUACCAUAUGAAUAAGGAUCGGCUAACUCCGUGCCAGCAGCCGUGGUAAUACGGAGGAUCCGAGCGUUAUCCGGAUUUAUUGGGUUUAAAGGGAGCGUAGGUGGAUUGUUAAGUCAGUUGUGAAAGUUUGCGGCUCAACCGUAAAAUUGCAGUUGAAACUGGCAGUCUUGAGUACAGUAGAGGUGGGCGGAAUGCGUGGUGUAGCGGUGAAAUGCUUAGAUAUCACGAAGAACUCCGAUUGCGAAGGCAGUUCACUGGACUGCAACUGACACUGAGGCUCGAAAGUGUGGGUAUCAAACAGGAUUAGAUACCCUUGUAGUC
rnacentral:rRNA from 1 species